UUUAUGUGAGAACUCGGAUGCAGCUUGCAGCAUGCCUUCAUCUUCACAGACUUCUGCACUGACAGGAGAACAAGGAGAAUCUGACCUGCAGGACUGAGCUCUCAGGAGCGACAUCAUGGUGGGCCUCCAGGCCCAGCCAACCUCAGCUCAACACAGCCUGCUCCAGGAACUCGCAGCCAGCCCGUGGUUCCUGAGUUACAGCAUAUCACUCUUGCUUUAAGACAGUAUUCUGAGUGGUGUGUGAUGUUGCAAGAGAUGUGAGUGACUCAAGCAGGCAUUGGUUGGGCUGCAUUUGCUCAGUAUGUUUGACCCAGUGUCACUUGUAGUAUGGAGACACUGAUCUGUGCAUGGAGUUGGUACUUGGGUAGCUUCUCGAUUGGGACUCAUGAUUGCUCCUAGAACCUUCUCGUAACAGGUCCUUUGGUGAACAGAUGUGUAAAUUUGUGCUCAUUCUAUAACAAGAAGAGAAUUUGUCAAACCACUGUAAUUUAUGCAACCAGCUUUAGUAGCUACUGCCAGACACUUCCAAAGCAAUGUGCCACGUUGCUCUCGAGCGGAUAUGCAGGAAGAGUCAGAGUUCCGGCUGUUCACCUUUGGCCACUCUCGGGGCUUUUGAACUUUACAACCCUCCAUUGUACAAAUAAAAGUGCUGAUGCUGAAGACUGCUCCACCAGAGUGAGCUCCAGGGGCCAAAAAUAGAACAAGGCUGGGCCAGCUGGCUUGGCCAUCUACUCUUCCCUACCAACUCCAGUGAAGAGGUCAAUUUCAUCACACAGCCCGGCUUGUAGACGGGGCCCUGUAUUUUUACACACUCACAUUUCCAUCUCCCAAGAGAAUAUCUCAGAGGUGGAUGGCAUGGAGAUCAGCAUCUCCAUUUCACAGCAGGACAGCAUGCCCGGGGUCCAAAGGCAUGUGGUCGUACCAGCAGGAGUAGGGUCUUGGACAUGCAUCGUGGUUUUUCCUGGCAAGGCCCUCUGCUUUUAAUGGUUUUAUGGUGGUUUCAAGUGAAGGCUGAAGAGACUGGGGACAGAUCUGGAACACAGCAACCUGCAGGUUCUAAGUCCUGCACAGAGACAAGUGAAAAGCCCGGCCUCGGGUAAUGGUGACUGAAACCACUUAGCACUGCAUGUCCAGGGCUGAGCCCCGACCCCCACCCCUCUUCAUCUGGAAACCUUCUAGCAAUUGGCUGGGUUUUGUGAUUAAAAUGCAUGUAGCUGUUUAAAAUGAGGCCACACAGAAUGUUGCCCGUGCUUCACCCUAAGUAAGAAACAGACAACGGAAUACCACACAUAGUGACACUCCACUGUGGAAAAAAUAAAUCCAUAAAUCUGUACACCAAUGAAGGCAUGGAGGAAAGACAGGUGGGGCCAGAGAGAUGGUUUAGUUAGGAGCACUUGCUGCUCAUUUAAAAGACCCAGGUUCAGUUCCCAGCACCCACUUCAGGUAGCUCACAGCUGGCUGGAACUCCAUCUAUAUGGAACCUGAUGCUCCCUUUUGCUCUCCAUGAGCAUCUGCACUCGUGCACAUAAGGCCAUUUACACACACACACACACUCACACGCACACACACACACACACACACACGCACACUUAAAAAAUAAAAUCUGCAGGGUGUGACCGGUGCCCAGCAGGUAGGUCUCUGUUGUUCGAGGCUGGUCUACGUAGUGGUUCUAGGAGUAUGUUGACAGACUCACAAAGCUAAAGUAAAAUCUUUAAAACGUGUUGACUGUGGUUUAUCUGGUGGGGAAUGUGAAGGUGAACACACUGCUGGCUUCUGCCUUCACUUGCUUUGCAGUUGGGAUAGAUCAGCUUUAUUUUGUAAACUUACUUUAGAUGGUACAGUCACAAGUGUGCAGGGAAUUGAGCCAUGAGAACUGUCCCUGUCCUCUCUGCCUACCAUCCACUUGGCUCCCUCUGGAGGUGACAACAUGGCCCGCGUUUCUGCAUCCUAGUUUAUGUACAGGUCAGCAAAUACAUAUUUUCAGUUUUGUUGCUUUGUUUUGUUUGGACAGGGUUUCUCUGUGAAGCCCUGGCCAUCCUGGAACUCACUCUGUAGAGCGAGCUGGCCUCAAAUUCAGAGAUCCACCUGCCUCUGCUUCCUGAAUGCUAGGAUUAAAGGCGUGUGCCACCUGGCUGACUUUUCCCUUUAUUCCUUCCUUCCUUUUUUUUUUUUUUAAGACAUAGCUUUUACAGUGAAUAGAUUGACCUAAUGGGAUAGUAUGGAAGGACUAGAUCACAAGACCUUUGUUUGUUUUUAAGGUUAAUGCUCUGUUUGCAUGUAUGUUAAAUGUUUGCAUGUAUGUUAAAUGUACUGCACUCACGCAGUGCCCAUGAAGGCCGGAAAGGUGGCGUCAGAACCCCUGGAACUGGAGUUACCCAUAGUUGUCAGCCAGCGUGUGGGUUCUGGGAACUGGACAAUGGUCUCCUGGAAGAACAGCAGUGCUCUUAACUGUUGAGCUAUCUCUCCAGCCUCUUCAGGGCCUGUUUGUUUUUUAAGUAAAGGCUUUCCAGCCUGCAUGAUUUUAUGAUACAGAGAAUGGCAACGUGAGAAAAAUGGCCACCAAAUGGUGCUUAGAUGCGAUGGAGGCAGUGGAUUGCGAAACACAUUUCCAUAUUUAAAUACAAAGAAAAGACACAGGCUACGCACCCCCGGUGUGUGGACAGCUCUGCACCUAGGAUUCGGGGCGACCUUAUUUCCUUCUUCCAGGAGGCAGUGUAGCUUUGAAAGUCAAUGGGUGGCUUAAUCUACACAUUAAUGUCCUCCUCUACAGAAUGGAGAAGAUGGUGAUAGGGUUGUCCUUGGGGCCAGGUUAUGAAAUUCACCGCCCCUGGAGAGUGUGCUUGCCAUAGCUGGUAAUUGUCAACAAUUAUACUCACCUGAGUUUCGUCAUUUCUCAGUCCCUGAUGUAUAUUACAGUAAGAGUUAAGCUUCAUUGAUAGAGUGGAGAACAAAUGAGAGGGGGUGUGGCCACAGAGGGGUGACAUCUAGAAGGCCCUAGAGAGAGGUAGUGAGCAUGCACGCCCAGAGAUGUAGGAAACAUGAUGUCAUGACUUCAGGCCUGGGAAAGACUCCCCACUGUUUACUCUGGCUAUAAUGGCAUGCCCAUGACCAGUGGUUUAUAGUUUAAGGAUUUCCAGAUAAUGGUUCAAGCUGCCAGUGACUUUCUGAUGCUUCAGUGCAUAGUGGAGAGAAAAUGGGCAGCUGGGACUUGUCAGUGACACAGAGGAAGACUUACUCCUCUUAAUGAUCUAAUCCCUUCCUAAUGGUGACAUCACCUCUCAGUGCUGUCACAAGCAACUGGCAAAGACUGUCUUGAGAGGGGACAAGCCGUACCUAAAGCACAGCAUUCCACACCUGCCCCUCACAACAUAAAAUACAACCACCACAUCCCUAAAUCCUGUUCCAAAGUCCAUCCCAACGUCUUCAUUUAUUCCCGAGCCAACUGCAAAGUCCAAGGUCCCACUUAUCAGCCUGUGAAAUGAAAAUAAGUUCUCCACAUCCAAAACACAUCAAGACCAGCAUAAGAUAGAUACGCUCCUGUUCCCGAGGGGUGACUCAAGCCAGCCGCCCACUAGGUCCCGAGUAUCUAGCAGAACUGCCAGCAUGUUCAACAGGCAUUGCGUUCUUCUUGGCUUGGCUGGAUCCCAUGUUCUGCCCACACAGCACAACCACUGAGAGAGCACAACAUGUGCCCGAAUACUCAGAUCCACUGUCCUCUGGGAAGAGAGGGAAACUCAAGGCCUGUUUCAUCCUCAGCUCUGACAAUUAGUAUCCAUAUUAGCUGGACUAAACGGCUUGCCGUCUGGAUCAGCCUGACAUCAGCAAAGGCUUGAAGAUAGAACUGUGUAAGUUCCCAACUUUUGUUCAAUUGACACAGUCUAAGUAAAAUAGCAACAUUGGAAGUCUCCAACCCUUACCUUUAAUUCCCAUAUCCUCUGCUCUGAAAAAAAAAAGGUUUUUUUCAUUAAAUAUCAUGCCAAAACAAUAUACUGUUAUGUUGUCUAUUCUUCUGGUGUCAGUGUUUAUAAUAAACUGUAGAUUACUGUCUAAGUUUUUUGGGGGGUGC
ensembl:lncRNA